ACCAGUGUAAACAAUACCAACGAAGGUCAUAUCUACCCACCCAAAAGCUCCAGUCACAGGGAACAGCCACGAACGCUCCAGCCAGGAAAAGGUGCACUUGCUUUUCUCUAGCGUCCACAGGCCACGUGCGGGAGGAGGGGCCGCCUUCUGAUUGGUGGCCGGAGUCUCGCCUAGGGGGCGGAGCCACCUGUCUGUCCAUCACCACAUACUGGGCGGGGCCUGGGCGGGCAGGCCUGGUUGUAGGGCAGAGUCAGGACAGCGGGACCCAAUCUCUGCGCUUUGCCUCUACUCGGCCACCGCUCCUCCAGUGCCGACCGCGAGGCGACGGUUGCCGGGGCACGCGCCGCCCGUUCCUCUUUCCCGUUGCGAGCGGCUGGCGCGCAGGGAGGCGGCCCCCAAUCCGGCCGGGCGCCUCCCACUUUCCGAGCCGCCGGGGAGCCGGAGGAUGGCGGCGGUGGCAGCGGCCG
rnacentral:lncRNA from 1 species